GCAUUAGUAGCUCAAUAUAAGAGCGUCAGUUUUGUAAACUGGAGGUUGAAGGUUUAAACCCUUCCCAGUGCU
rnacentral:tRNA from 1 species